rnacentral:rRNA from 1 species
AAACCAACAGGGAUUGCCCUAGUAAUGGCGAAUGAACAGGCAAAAGCUCAGAUUUGAAACCCUCGGGAUUGUAAUCUGGAGGCCUGGAUUUGGCGCGCUGACCAAGUCUCCUGGAACGGAGCGCCAUGGAGGGUGACAGCCCCGUAGCAGCAGCCAGUGCAAAUCCGGGCCCACGAGUCGAGUUGUUUGGGAAUGCAGCUCUAAGUGGGUGGUAUGCUCCAUCUAAAGCUAAAUAUUGGCGAGAGACCGAUAGCGAACAAGUACUGUGAAGGAAAGAUGAAAAGAACUUUGAAAAGAGAGUGAAAAAGUACGUGAAAUUGUUGAAAUGGAAGGCAAUGAGGUGCGAUUGCGCCGGGCGUUUGGGGGCAGGACAAAAGCGCAGGCCGCUUCGGCACUGCCUGCGUGCAUGCUGCCUCCCGGACCACCGGGGCUAACAACGCCUUACUGCAC